rnacentral:rRNA from 1 species
GAUACCCCGCCUAGUUCUAACCAUAAACGAUGCCAGCCAGCGAUCCGCCGAUGUUCCUCCGAUGACUCGGCGGGGAGCUUCCCCUCGGGAAACCAAAGCUUUUGGGUUCCGGGGGAAGUAUGGUUGCAAAGCUGAAACUUAAAGGAAUUGACGGAAGGGCACCACCAGGAGUGGAGCUUGCGGCUUAAUUUGACUCAACACGGGAAACCUCACCAGGUCAGGACAUUGGAAUGAUUGACAGAUUGAUAGCUCUUUCUCGAUUCAGUGGGUAGUGGUGCAUGGCCGUUCUUAGUUGGUGGAACGAUUUGUCUGGUUAAUUCCGAUAACGAACGAGACUCUAGCCUAUUAACUAGACGUCCCGGUGCCCUCGUCAUCGGCGACUCAAACUCUUCUUAAGGGGACAAGUGGCUUAUAGCCGCACGAGACUGAGCAAUAACAGGUCUGUGAUGCCCUUAGAUGUCCUGGGCCGCACGCGUGCUACACUGAGAGAAUCAGCGUGUAUUUUCCCUGCCCGAAAGGGCUGGGUAAUCCGCUCAAACGCUAUCGUGCUUGGAAUUGAGGUCUGAAAUUUCCCUUCAUGAACGAGGAAUUCCCAGUAAGCGCGAGUCAUUAGCUCGCGCUGAUUACGUCCCUGCCCUUUGUACACACCGCCCGUCGCUACUACCGAUUGAAUGAUUUAGUGAGGGCUUCGGACUGGCGGGAAAUCCCUACAGCUUCGGCUGUUUGGAUGACCUGCUGGGAAGAUGACCGAACUUGAUCAUUUAGAGGAAGUAAAAGUCGUAACAAGGUUUCCGUAGGUG